rnacentral:rRNA from 1 species
AGAUUGAACGCUGGCGGCAGGCCUAACACAUGCAAGUCGAGCGGUAGAGAGGUGCUUGCACCUCUUGAGAGCGGCGGACGGGUGAGUAAUGCCUAGGAAUCUGCCUAGUGGUGGGGGAUAACGUUCGGAAACGGACGCUAAUACCGCAUACGUCCUACGGGAGAAAGCGGGGGACCUUCGGGCCUCGCGCCAUUAGAUGAGCCUAGGUCGGAUUAGCUAGUUGGUGAGGUAAUGGCUCACCGAAGGCGACGAUCCGUAACUGGUCUGAGAGGAUGAUCAGUCACACGUGGAACUGAGACACGGUCAGACUCCGACGGGAGCAGCGAGGUAGGGAAUAGUAGGACAAGUGGGACGAAAGCCUAGACUCCGAGCCAGUCGCCGCGUGUGUAGAAGUACGGUUCGUU